UCCGUCAGCUCCUGGACAGCAGGAGAGGCUGCAGAGCCCGUGAAUUAUGUAACGUGCCCUCCCGCCGCCGCGGGGAGAUGCGCUGCGAUGCCCCGCCGGCCGGGACGCCCCUCCCCGCACCCGGCGCUGCCGCCGCUGCCCUCCCGCGAGUCCCCCCCGCUCCCCGGCGCUCGCCCCUUCCCACCCCGCCGCUCCCUCCUCCCCGGCGGGGUCCCCGGCGCGGUGCCCGCGGCGGUCGCAGGGCGGCGGCCGGAGCCCCCCGCGCCCGGCGGAGCGGAGCGGAGCGAGGGCCGGACCCCGCGGGGAGCGCCCGCCCGCCCGGCCGGCACCACAGCGCCCCCAGCCCCCGCCGCUCCGCGCCUGCACCGCCAGCCCGCCCGGCGCCCCCACACACACAAAGUCCCAGCACUCGAUGAAAGAGGCUGGAGUUCCUGUCUUCACCCUUUCUCCGCUGCCUCCCUGUUCUACCAGUCUGUUCUGUGUCCAGGCAACUGCAAAAAGACAUUUCAAAGGCUCCUGCCGUGCCAUGUAGAUGUUUUCUCUAGUUAGUUUGGACUGCAGGUGUGUGAGCCUCAAGGAUGAAGUAUCGUGGUGCUGUUUUAGGUUCGGGGCACACAGUCAUGGCACAAUAAAUCACACAGUAACGCUCGGCUUUGAACACGCGCGCACAGAAAAGGGGAAAGAAAAAAGCAUCUGACCUGAAUCAUUUUCUGGAAACACAUCUGGUUAAAAUCCAAAGUUUUAAAUUGAGUAAUAUUUUAAAAUACAUUUGGUAGGUAUUACAUUACAGUGUUAUAUCUGGUAAUAUUUAUGAUACUAAUGUGUUAAGCGGAGGUUUAUAUCUGUCAAGAAAUAUGAAUGAUUGUCAUAUGGGCUAACAAAUGUAUCCUGAUAUAAAUAACAUUUUAUGAUA